ACACGCGGCGAACAGUCGGUGCGUGCCCUCUUUUAAACGACGAUAUGUAGCGCGGCGUCACGAAAAAUCGCGUGGUUCUCGUGCACUGGUGUCGGCCAAGAUCAUUGUCACGAUCGAGAUCGAGACACGUGCUUACCCUCGUUAGCACGGAUCGUUGCGAUUCGCGGCUCAGCUUUCCCUUAUUUCUCCCUUUUAACUCGAAGCACACCUUCGAGUUCGACUACGCUCGAUCCGAGUGAACCGAACCCGAAUUAUUUUUUCCCGCGAGUUUCGGUGACGCAUUGAUUUGUGACUGGACCACCAUUCGACCGAAGAGAUCGAGAAAAUGACGGUAAUGGUGGAGUCAGUAAAAGCGGAGGAGGGCGAACGUCCGAGGAUCAGCAAUUUCGACGACAUCCUGCCGUACGUCGGAGAGGCCAGUCGUUACCAAUGGUUCCUCUUCGUUUUGCUUCUACCCUUCACCUUCGUCUACGCGUUCCUCUACUUCACGCAGUUCUUCAUCACCUUGGUGCCGGCUGAGCACUGGUGUACAGUACCAGAACUCGAAGGAUGGAACCUCACCGACCACGAGAAAAUCUCCCUGUCGAUUCCUCCAGCAAGCAUCGAUGAAUUAAAGGUGGAAGGUGCAACUGCAUUUUCACGAUGCAACAUGUACGACGUGAAUUACGAAGAGAUGCUGGACCAAGGUAUUAGAAAAGGAAAUAUAUCUUGGCCUGUUAAACCGUGUAAAUAUGGGUGGAGCUUUAAUCACACGAUGAUACCUUACAAGUCUAUAGCCGUCGAGUUGGAAUGGGUCUGCGACCAUGCUUUCCUAGGUUCAGCAGCGCAGUCAGCCUUCUUCCUCGGCAGUAUCCUCGGCGGUUUAAUAUUCGGUUACAUAGCCGACCAUUAUGGCAGGAUUCCAGCUCUGGUCGCUUGCAACUCGGUUGGCUUCAUCGCGUCCGUCGCCACCGCGUUUUGCAACAGUUUCUGGAGCUUCUGCUUCGCGAGAUUAGUCGUCGGCACUUCGUUCGACAAUUGUUUUAAUGUCCUUUUCAUUAUCGUGAUAGAAUAUGUCGGUCCGAAAUACCGAACACUGGUGGCGAACAUGUCCUUCGGUCUUUAUUUCGCUGCAGCCGCCAGUCUUUUGCCAUGGAUCGCAUACUGGAUCGCGGAUUGGAGAAUUUUGAGUAUGGCCACCGCGUGUCCCAUGGUGGUCGCUUUCAUAGGACCAUGGAUCGUUCCUGAAAGCGCACGUUGGUACAUCACCAGCGGCAAAGUCGACAAAGCGAUCGACAUGUUGAAGAAAUUCGCCAAAGUAAAUGGCAAGGAAGUGAAACAGGAGAUAUUCGACGAGUUCGAGAAAAGCUGUAAAUCAAUGAUCGAGAAAGAUCAAUCGCAUAAUCAGUACACCGUGCUGCAUCUAUUCAAAAAGCCACGACUCGCGCGUAUCACCAUCAUGCUCAUCCUCUACUGGCUCCUGAUGGUGUGGGUGUUCGACGGCCACGUUUGGAACAUGAAACUUCUGGAUCCUGACGUUUUUACAUCCUUCUCCUUGGCCUCGCUCACCGAACUUCCGGCCGCGGUUCUACUCGCACUCUUCCUGGACAGAUGGGGCAGACGAUGGAUGGGUUUCGCGUCCAUGUUCCUCUGCGGAAUUUUCUCCUGGAUUGCCCUGGCCACUCCUAAUGGUCCACCUACGGUAGCUAUGGCGAUCGUAGCACGUCUCGGUGUGAAUAUCGCGGCGAAUAUCGGUUUCCAAUACGCGGCCGAAAUGCUUCCCACCGUAGUGAGAGCCCAGGGUGUCUCUUUGAUCCACAUCAUCGGUUACGUGGCUCAUAUCUUGGGACCCUACAUCAUUUACCUGGCUGAUAUUGAUGCCUCUCUGCCUCUUAUCGCCCUCGGUUUGCUGUCCUUUGUGCACGCCUUCUUGACCUUAGGUUUGCCAGAAACCUUGAAUCAAGAUUUGCCAGAGACCCUUCAGGAAGGUAACGACUUUGGUAGAGAGCAAAGUUGCUGGUGGGUCCCUUGCGUAUCCUCGAGUCACCAGCUAAAGAAGAAAUACAGAAAGAAACAAGGCCUCUCGAAUCCCGCGUUCGCUGAUAGUGUUCAAAAGAUCGACUGCACUAGAUUAUAGCGGCUGCUGUUCAAACUUGCCAAAUCCUUUGUAAAUAUAGUCGUUAAAUGUGUGUGCGUGUGUGACGAUGUUGCGGGAACGUGUAUGAGAGAUGCAGGAGGAUGUCGUGAGACGAUACAAGAAGCAUUCCAUAGCAUCAGCUCGGCGAUACUGAACAAACAAGUCAUCGCCAGGGUUAGAAAUCCGCAUAAUCUACGACCCCAUCGAUCCAGCACCAAAGUCAGCAGCAAUCCUGCCGGAAGUUCCGUGGAGCACGCAACGGAGAAGGACAUGAACACCGAGCUUUGGAUCAGCUUCAAGGAAUACACGUGACCAUCGAAGGCGAUCACGACUGUGGAUGUCCCAAAAUUAACCACAGAAGAUACUAACUGUUGGAAACCGCGCAAGCCCAAAUGCUGAAGAUUCCGGAAAUGACGAGAGAUCCGCAUGCGAGCCAUCUUCUACCCCAUCGAUCAAGGACAGCCGUGAGGAAGGUGUCAGCAGGUAGCUCGGUUGCUGCGGCGAUCGUAAAAGUCACGAACAUGUUCAAGCCUAAAUUAUCGACGUUUCGUACAUGACCAUCGAACACCAGAGAGACCGCCAUCCUGGAUAGAAAAAGAAAUUUCAUAUGAUUAAAAGUCACGAUUCCUGGAAAAAAUGAGCAGUGUUGCUUGAUAUGAAAAACAAAUUCCAUUCUCUAAUUAGAUACGCGAAGAAAUUUUUAAACAAACAAUUUUCAGUGAUAUGAUAUGGAAAAAAUUCAUUUUUUAAAUAAGAGAGAAUCUUCAAAAAAAAAUUGUCCUGACAAAUAACUAAAAAGAAAAAAAAAGGAAAUGCUAUCAUGAAAGUUAUACCAUAAUUCACUUAUAAAUAACAAAACAAUGCGUACCAUAUGACAAUAAACAAAAUAGUGAUUUUUCUUAGCCGUGGAGUCCUAAAUAAAUCCAACACAGAAUACGUUUUGUCAGCUUCCUCCUCUUUACAUAUCCUCUCGCAGGUUUCCUGUUUCAAAGGACCAUUUUGAUUAAUUAUAAAAGCAAAUACCGUUGUACAAUUCUAUAAUAAUUGAAUGGAAAGUUUUUUUACCCGGAAUCGUUUGUAGAUAUCAUCAGGCACCUUGGUGCCAUUCAUAUACUCGAAUUUGUGCAGGAUCUUGAUGGCCCUGUCCACUUGUCCUUGGCUCACCAACCAUCGAGCACUUUCCGGGAUCAAGAACGGUGCCGCCAUUGCCAAAAUCAGAGGAACAGACGUGGCUAUACAUGUCAUUCUCCAAUCGGCCAAAUAAUAGGCGAUCCAAGGUAGAACACAAGCGGCGAAAGUGAAGAAUAUGGCUAUGGACAUGUUCGCUACGAACGUUCGCCAUUUCGGUCCAACGUACUCCAAUACUGAAAUACAAUCAUCAAAAAUUAAUUAAAAAGGUCAUAAUCCAGCAUCCAAUUUCGCGACGAUGCGUUUCGCUAAGAAGCUCCUAAUUAUGGAAACCCCGUCUGGACGCGAAAAACAAUUCCACGUUAACGACAGCGUCGCGAUGCAUUUACAAAAGAAUUAACGAACCCGUGACAAGAGUGCGCCGUUUAAACAAACACCGCGUUUCAAAUAAUUUCCAUGAUGCAAUUCAGCCGCGAUUUCACGGAGGGAAAAGAAACGAGGAAACGCGAUAGACGCUUGUCGAUACAAUUCUUGCCCGAUUCUUUGCGCAUCGUUUAUAUUUUUACAUUCUUCAGGUAUUUAUCAACCUGUUACCGUAACAGUUGCGUUGUUUGAAUAACAUUCGAAGGCUGUUUACCCGCGAUUCCUGUAACCCCAAUCUAAGCGCAAUCCAGUUACGCCUUUCGUCAUCGAUUGCUUAGCACGCUUUACGAACGGUCUGCGCCUUUUUACCAAUAUUUACCGGCUAAGAAUCAGGCACAAUCAGUCGAACGAAUCGAUCGGAAAUGUCGUUGAAAUCGAAGAACGGUUUUACGUUGAGAAACCAUUCGCCGAGAGAAUGUCCGAUAGGAGAGUUCUGUUUCACCGUGACUUCGAAUAUCUCGUUACACUUUGUAAUGGACUGUGAUAAAGUCUUCUUAAAAAGAAGGCUUAAAUAAUUGUAGUUAAACAUUUCAUUGUAAUCGGAUGAAGAAGAAGAUAUUAUUAAUCCAGUGGAUUAUAAAUAGUUACUCGUUAUCUACUUUGCAUUACAAAAUAGAGAUUCUUUUUUAUUAAUGAAUCCAAUUGCAUUUUUCAUCGCGAUCGAUUAUUUCUGCCUUACUUAUUUUCUUUCCUCAAUAAAAUUCAAGCAAUAGUUGGAGGCUUAAAUUACAGAUAAUUAUGCUACUUUCGACAAAUUUAUUGCAACUGUUAGUGCGUUCAUACCUUUUCCAUGUUCACGUCAAAUGGUCAACUAUGAGUCAUUUUGGCAUUUUAAGAAUUGAACAUUGUUUUAUGUUAUAGAUUUUUAAAUUCGACGAUAAGUAUGACCUUCCCUGUACAAAAAGCUCGCAAAUCUAACCCUGUCGCUAGACACUUUUACAGACAUAAAGAAAUAGAUAGAUAACUACAAAUGUUAUAAAUCUCAUUAAACAGAGUUAUCAAAGAGUUAAUCUAUUGUCAACGGGAGAACAGACUUGUAAACAGAUAAAAUCCUCUCACUUGUAUCUCUAAAAUCCUUAUCAAAUACAGGGAGGUGUGAUCCAUCGGUGGGUCAUUGAGUCUUAAGUACUAUUAUCUUGCUCCCCUAUCAUGCCAUCACGGAUUUUCUAAAGGAACUGAGUCUGAUUCGAAAUUUUCCUUUGAUGUACAAUUACAUUCAGUAUCAGACGUGUAUCUCCUCAUUCAUGAGUCGAUCAUUCAUCGGAUAACGUGCCGGGGAAGCUUCUAAGACGGUAGCAAUCGAUAAUUACACCAGAAGAAACACCUCGCCGUUCCGAUUCCACGAACAUCGUGGAAAAUGAUGAUUCAUUCGGAUAUACAUCUGCGUGAGGUCCUCCAGUUCCGGCACCCAGCACCAGUACUCUUCCGGCGUCAGUGUGAUGAAUAUCUGGGAAAAGUACACCCACGCGACGAACGAGGCGAACGGUAUCAUCAAGAUAAACAGAAUCUUCUGAUAGAGUCCAAAUUCACCAACAUAAGGUUGCACGGGACAAGGUGGACUAAAACUCGGUGCUCCUCUCGCUUCUGGAUGACUAUAAACGGUAGGUUGCUGUGGUGGUGGUAAUAUCGGAGACGGAAGAUAAUUUUCCACGUAGGUCAUAUUUUCCGUACCAUUGCAACGAUUAUUCGGGGGAUUAGAAUUUCCGUUAUUACACGUGUGCUGGUUUGCUUGAUGCACGUGCGGAUUACACGACGAUGUGCUACUGAACAAGUAAAUUAUGACAUUACAUAAAAUUAUACAGAUUUAAUAUGAUACUAACGUGUGAUGCGACGAAAAUCUUGGAUAUUGACAUCUCCUAUGUACUUCUUGUACACGCUGCUGUAUCCUCCAUAAUCUUUCUUGUACAGGAUGCAUACGCGGUCUUAUUUGUAAAAUAUCU